rnacentral:lncRNA from 1 species
UUUCAAGAGGGGCCCUGAAGCAGGGGGGCUGUUUUGGGACAAAGUAGCUCAAGCUGUGCAUUCCCUCCAAAUGAUUAAGCUUAAGAACACACAGAUGAGUCAUUUGAACAGCGUUUAAAACUCAGCCAUGGCCAAAUUUAAUGCAUCACUUGGACUGAGUAAUCGGGACAUCUCACAAAUCUCAGAAGCAAGUGAGAGCAGAAUCUGGAGCCUGCUCUUUGUAUUUCAGCAGCUCGCACUCCAAAUCUAUUUGCAAACAGAUACUGAGAAGCCCGAAAGAGAAUACUUUACAUCUUAAAUCAACUGGAAGGCAUCUAAAGCCAAGGGAUUGAAACGUCUGCUUUCAUUCCUAGAAAGAGGAGACAAAGAGGACUACUUGAGUGCAUCCACCUCUGAACCUCAACACCUGAAUAGAUCUUGCUUGGAACCAGCAAUGGGGCAUUUCAUGCUGAUCAGCAUUGACCAAUGUGAUCCAACAGAUGCAUAUUUAAGUCCCCAUCCCAACUCCAAGCAACAAGAAAUGAGAGCUGGAAGGGACAACUUGGGUCACCCAGGCCCGUUCCACGAUCUCACAGCCAGCAACAUCACGCAACCCCUUUCCUUGAAAGGGUCAAGGAGCCAUGCAAAACUUUUUCCCUAGGUUUCCAAAUUGUGGAUCCGUCUCUCAUUUUAAACACUCGGGUAACAAAAAUUCACUUUGCCAGCAGGACUUUACAAUUAAAUCUCUUUCUUCUACUUGCUGUUGUUUUCCUCUCCAGGCCACAUGAUCUAUGCUGCUUCUUUCAUCCAUUCAAUUAAAAAAUUCUGGCUUGAACAGUCAACUUCGAUUGUCUGUUUGACCUUUCUAUUUGCCUUGUACAUACUUAACACAAAAGAAUGGGAAAGUAACAUCCUGUUUAGAAUCUUGGAUCUCCACACCCUCAGCAAUGAAUCAGUGAACUUGGCAUGAGUGCCUAGCACGUUAACAAGCCUGACGGACUUUCAGAACAUGUCAUCAUCAAUCCAAAAAGACAAUACAGAACGUAAGUAAGCUUGCACUGAAUCAUGUCCUCCUCAAUGUUCAAAUUCUAAUUACAGUUAGAAAGCUAAGGUUAUCCUGCUCCCCACAGGGGAAACAUAAAGGAAAGAAAAGGCCACGUUUUACUUCUUAUGAGAACAAGAACAGCACCAAAUGAAGAAUAGUGUUGUAGAGAAGAUUUGCAGAUUGCUCUGGUGC